rnacentral:rRNA from 1 species
UGUUAAGCUAGAUGUGAAAGCCCCGCGCUCAACGUGGGAGGGUCAUUUAGAACUGGCAGGCUAGAGUACUGUAGAGGGGAGUGGAAUUUCAGGUGUAGCGGUGAAAUGCGUAGAGAUCUGGAGGAACAUCAAUGGCGAAGGCAACUCCCUGGCCAAAGACUGACGCUCAUGUGCGAAAGUGUGGGUAGCGAACAGGAUUAGAUACCCUGGUAGUCCACGCCGUAAACGAUGUCUACUUGGAGGUUGUGGCCUUGAGCCGUGGCUUUCGGAGCUAACGCGUUAAGUAGACCGCCUGGGGAGUACGGUCGCAAGAUUAAAACUCAAAUGAAUUGACGGGGGCCCGCACAAGCGGUGGAGCAUGUGGUUUAAUUCGAUGCAACGCGAAGAACCUUACCUACUCUUGACAUCCAGAGAACUUUCCAGAGAUGGAUUGGUGCCUUCGGGAACUCUGAGACAGGUGCUGCAUGGCU